rfam:Lentinula edodes NBRC 111202 DNA, contig: scaffold173.
GGUGAGAUGGCCGAGUGGUCUAAGGCGCUAGAUUUAGGCUGUUUGCAAAUCUCUAGUCAUUCGUGGCGUGGGUUCAAAUCCCACUCUCAUCA